UUUGGCAUUAUAAUUAAUGCGAGUACGCGGUUAAGCCAUACCCUAAUAUAAAUUAAUUUCAAGUUUUAAACAAUGAAGUAACCCCGAAAGGCAAUACAACAAUUGUCAUAAAGAUUAUAAAAAUUGGGGUAAUGUUUCAACCCAAACAUGUUAUAAUUACACGGAACGAUGGAAAUGAUUAUAACCGAAAUUAUAAACAUCCCAAAUGAAGUUUAAGGUGUGGUAAUGAUCCUUCCGCAGGUUCACCUACGGAAA
rnacentral:misc_RNA from 1 species